rnacentral:rRNA from 1 species
UAAUAGUGUAUAUUAAAGUUGUUGCAGUUAAAAAGCUCGUAGUUGAAUGUUGGUGUCGAACGAGCGGUCAGCUUCGGCUGUACUGCUCUCUCGACUCCUUCCUUCUGUGGACUACGUCGCACUUUACUGUGUGGCGCUAGGACGCAGAUCGUUUACUGUGAAAAAAUUAGAGUGUUCAAGGCAGGCCGUACGCUUGAAUACAUUAGCAUGGAAUAAUGGAAUAGGACGUCGGGCCUAUUUUGUUGGUUCUAGGACCGUCGUAAUGAUUAAUAGGGACAGUUGGGGCCGUUUAUAUUCCGUAGUCAGAGGUGAAAUUCUUGGAUUUACGGAAGAUAAACUACUGCGAAAGCAUUCGGCAAGGAUGUUUUCGUUAA